rnacentral:sRNA from 1 species
ACCUAAACCCGACCUGAAUGUAAAAUCCUUUACUGAUUUUAAUCUGUAAAGAUUUGAAAUGGGGGCGGGGCUGAAC